rnacentral:rRNA from 1 species
GAUGAACGCUGGCGGCGUGCCUAAUACAUGCAAGUCGAACGAGUUCUGAUUAUUGAAAGGUGCUUGCAUCUUGAUUUAAUUUUGAACGAGUGGCGGACGGGUGAGUAACACGUGGGUAACCUGCCCUUAAGUGGGGGAUAACAUUUGGAAACAGAUGCUAAUACCGCAUAAAUCCAAGAACCGCAUGGUUCUUGGCUGAAAGAUGGCGUAAGCUAUCGCUUUUGGAUGGACCCGCGGCGUAUUAGCUAGUUGGUGAGGUAACGGCUCACCAAGGCAAUGAUACGUAGCCGAACUGAGAGGUUGAUCGGCCACAUUGGGACUGAGACACGGCCCAAACUCCUACGGGAGGCAGCAGUAGGGAAUCUUCCACAAUGGACGCAAGUCUGAUGGAGCAACGCCGCGUGAGUGAAGAAGGCUUUCGGGUCGUAAAACUCUGUUGUUGGAGAAGAAUGGUCGGCAGAGUAACUGUUGUCGGCGUGACGGUAUCCAACCAGAAUGCCACGGCUAACUACGUGCCAGCAGCCGCGGUAAUACGUAGGUGGCAAGCGUUAUCCGGAUUUAUUGGGCGUAAAGCGAGCGCAGGCGGUUUUUUAAGUCUGAUGUGAAAGCCCUCGGCUUAACCGAGGAAGUGCAUCGGAAACUGGGAGACUUGAGUGCAGAAGAGGACAGUGGAACUCCCUGUGUAGCGGUGAAAUGCGUAAAUAUAUGGAAGAACACCACUGGCAAAGCGGCUGUCUGGUCUGGAACUGACGCUGAGGGUCGGAAGAUGGGUGCGAACAAGAAUAUAUACCCUUGUAUCCAAGGGCAAUACCAAGUGGAGAUGAAGGUAUCGAUACCGUCCCCUCGGGGGGGGCCCGGGACCCGGUGUAUUCCCGGAGGAAGAAAUAUAUGUAUUCCCCCCGUUGUGGGGUGGUUCUCCCCUGUUUUCCCCCCCCCCCCCCGCUUUUAUAAUAAUAAAACAAAGGAGACCCUUUUUAUACAACAAAAAGUUGUGAUGUUGGGUGUGAGCGCCCCCCCCCCCCUUCUUCUACAACGACUAAAAAAAAAUUAGGGAAGAUAUCAUCGUGGGGCAGGCCCCGGGGGAGCUACUUUUUUAUGGGGGCCCCCCCGCGAGCGCUCUUCUCCCCUAUGAGGGCGUAUAUCCCCCCCCCUCUCGCCCUUCUUAAAAAUAAAAAACA